rnacentral:rRNA from 1 species
UACGUAGGGUGCAAGCGUUGUCCGGAAUUAUUGGGCGUAAAGAGCUCGUAGGCGGUUUGUCGCGUCGGCCGUGAAAACUUGGGGCUUAACCCCGAGCCUGCGGUCGAUACGGGCAGACUUGAGUUCGGCAGGGGAGACUGGAAUUCCUGGUGUAGCGGUGAAAUGCGCAGAUAUCAGGAGGAACACCGGUGGCGAAGGCGGGUCUCUGGGCCGUAACUGACGCUGAGGAGCGAAAGCGUGGGGAGCGAACAGG